UACGUAGGUGGCGAGCGUUGUCCGGAUUUACUGGGCGUAAAGGGAGCGUAGGCGGACUUUUAAGUGAGAUGUGAAAUACUCGGGCUCAACUUGAGUGCUGCAUUUCAACCUGGAAGUCUAGAGUGCAGGAGAGGAGAAUGGAAUUCCUAGUGUAGCGGUGAAAUGCGUAGAGAUUAGGAAGAACACCAGUGGCGAAGGCGAUUCUCUGGACUGUAACUGACGCUGAGGCUCGAAAGCGUGGGGAGCAAACAGG
rnacentral:rRNA from 1 species